CGGAUAGAGGCGCGGUGUUUGCGCGUAGUACGGAGGAGGCUGCCGAAAGCCCGGGAGUCCGUAUGAAUAGCAUUGCCGCCGAAGGGAAAGUGUAUGGCAUCAUAUUCCCUGGUCAUGUGCCGCAGCGGUAUAUGACUGUCAUCAUUUGUACUGUGAUGGGGAGCUAUCG
rnacentral:ncRNA from 1 species